AAGUCUAUGUGGUCACCUUUGUUUUUUUUGUUUGUUUCUUUUUUGAGAUGGAGUCUCACUCUGUCACCCAGGCUGGAGUGCAGUGGCACGAUCUCAGCUCACUGCAAGCUCCGCCUCCCAGGUUCACAGCAUUCUCCUGCCUCAGCCUCCUGAGUUGCUGGGACUACAGGCGCCCACCACCACACCCGGCUAAUUUUUUUGUGUGUAUUUUUUUAGUAGAGAUAGGGUUUCACCGUGUUAGCCAGGAUGGUCUCGAUAUCCUGA
rnacentral:lncRNA from 1 species